AUCCAGCUGACGAGUCCCAAAUAGGACGAAACGCGCGUCAAACUAGAU
rfam:Schistosoma rodhaini strain Burundi genome assembly, scaffold: SROB_scaffold0000427